UUUGUGUGUUGGAUUAUCUUUGAAACAGAUAUUCAUUGACGGCAGAAUGACUCAAUGCCAUAUUUUCUCACAAACGAUAACGGUCACGAUUAGAUGAUGCUGGGUUAUGCUGUGCUACUGAGACAUCGGCUGGAGAAAAACACAGACAUCAACAACUCUGAGCUGGAAAGCGAUGGAGGGCAAUUGGACACAAUCAUCUGCUUUAUUUUGUGUAAAUAGUGUGGAAACAUGAUUUUCAGCAUGGCUAGCAAAGCAUGUAUGGACAAGUUUGUAAGAGCGUAUUUAUACACCACCCCAGGCAUGGCUUUGUGGAUCUGAGACUACUUGUGAAUUUGCACAAACCAUACAGCAGAAAAACUAUGAAUCUUCUGUAAAGAUACAGAUGUUCGAAAUGCCAAGCUUUGAAAACAACAGGAUCACAACCUCUACAUUUCAGGAAAGAGAACAAGUCUGGAUUUAAAUCACCCGUAUCUUCUGUUGUGGCAUCGGACACCUGAUACCUUGGACACAGCUUCCUUGUGAGCAGUCCAGAAUUAAUCAGUGUUCACACAGGUGAAAAACUCCUUCGGAGUCAGUUGAGUUAGAAUAAGAGGCUCCACUCAGGGCUGGUUGCUUUUUGAGCCCCUAAAACACACUCUUUUUGGCAGCGGAGUCUGGGGAGAGAUGUUUUUGUGUGAUCUGUCACUAGGAUGUAAGGUCCUAGAGAGCAGAAAUGUGAUGGGACCCCGGCACAGCCCUAGCAUCAAGAACAGUGCAAGGUACACAGUACAUGCUCAGUGAAUGUUCUAUACAAUGCUUUCAAUUGAAAAUUUUGUUUUUAUUUUAAUACUUAGUUCCUGCUUAUAAAAUAAAUCAGUUCAUUAUAGAAAUUUGGAAAAAACUUAAAACCUUAAGGAGAAUAUAAAAAUUAUGAAUGAUCAUCGUCAACUUUUUCAGUUAAUGUGUGAGUGUUUUUAUAAAAAUGGUUUGGUGCAUGUGUGUGCGUGUGUGUGCAUUCACAUGCAUGAGUGUGUACACGAGAGAAUCACUGAACUUAUGUGCGUAAAGUUUUUGGCAACAUAUCGUGAGUUUUUUCUCAUAUGAUUAAAUUCUUUGGAACCAUGAUUGUUAGUGGUUACAUAAUUUUCAACCAUGUAGAUUUACCAUAAUUUGUUGGGCAUGUACCCUAUCAGGGACCAUUAAGGUGGUUUUACUUAGCUAUUUUUGGUAAAAAUAAAUAAUACAAUUAAGAAUGUCUUUAUAUGUUAGUCUUUUGACAUGACUAAUUAUACCCUUAGGAUAACUUCUCUUUGAAAUGAUUAUAGAAAUUUAUAGUGAAAUAAAAAUUUUCAGGAAUAC